UGGGAACAUUGCCAUUUAAAAGAGGA
rnacentral:piRNA from 1 species